rnacentral:rRNA from 1 species
AUUGAACGCUGGCGGCAUGCUUUACACAUGCAAGUCGAACGGCAGCGCGGGCUUCGGCCUGGCGGCGAGUGGCGAACGGGUGAGUAAUACAUCGGAACGUGCCCAGUAGUGGGGGAUAGCUCGGCGAAAGCCGGAUUAAUACCGCAUACGACCUGAGGGUGAAAGCGGGGGAUCUUCGGACCUCGCGCUAUUGGAGCGGCCGAUGGCAGAUUAGCUAGUUGGUGGGGUAAAGGCCUACCAAGGCGACGAUCUGUAGCUGGUCUGAGAGGACGACCAGCCACACUGGGACUGAGACACGGCCCAGACUCCUACGGGAGGCAGCAGUGGGGAAUUUUGGACAAUGGGCGAAAGCCUGAUCCAGCAAUGCCGCGUGUGUGAUGAAGGCCUUCGGGUUGUAAAGCACUUUUGGCGGGAACGGAAAGGACUGUGCCAAUACCACGGUUCGAUGACGGUACCCGCAGAAUAAGCACCGGCUAACUACGUG